UACAUCCUUAUUGCUGCCACUGCCUCUGACCCAACAGACACUAAUAAGGAAUCUCACAGAACAUGAAGUAUUCCCAGCGCACAGAGGGCCACAUAAAAAGGUGCCUCUGACAGCCAGUACUAGGAAUUCAGGCAUUCCUGGAAGCCCAGGGGAAAAUCUGAUGGGGACCUCUGGCAUCCUCAGGCAUCCUGCCAUCUGCAGGUACCUGGGUCGGUACCAGGGUGUGCCUUGCCUCUCCUACUCACUGGCUGCGUCAAUUAAAUUACUAUUUAUUUCACCAGCCAAGGUGCCGUGACUAAUUACUUUAGCUCCUCUUUAAAGUAGUAACAGAGACAGGUGGAUUCUCCUUGAGGAAAUCUGAAUCUGGCUGCCUCCUCCUGAAUUACUGAGUUAUAGCACCAGUAACAACCACUUAAGAUCCUGUCUCACAGCCAAGGCAAUCAGAUCUGAAGCACCCUCCACCCACAAGCCAGCAGCCAGGAGCACGCGCCGUGUGCGUGCGUGUGUGCGUGCGCGCGCGCGCGUAUGACGCACGGGAGCAGCGCACUUCUUCCGGUGUGUACCUUCUAGGCUAUACUUCAGGGUACAGGAAAGUGACAGUGCAAAGUAUUUUCUUUUGUCAUGUCAACUCCAGUCACUGCUAAAUAUCUUUAUCAAACUGUCAUUAUUUUGUCCGUUUUUAUAAGGUGCUGCACAGACUCCUGCAGUGUUUCUGCAUUCGCUAUCUCAGGUGACAUUCAUGACAAAUCAGUCAGACUUCAGUACUUCCACCCCACGGACAAAGGCACUGAGGGGAGCGGCACGAGAAGAGUAAGCCAGUAAGCAAGGCAGGAUGUCUGCAUUUCAUUUGAAAUCCUCAGAUACUGAUUUCAUCACCACUGAGGCUCAAGCAUCUGGAGAGGGCUCUGCAAUCAUCACCUUCUCAGAGGGCUGUUAUGAAACGACAUGGGAUGGCGGAGGGCGAAGGCCUGGGGAAGUGGCCAAGGACCUGGUGCAUGAGCAGAGCCCACAGUUCCCAAGGAACCUCAACUGGGAGAAUUUGAUGCCAAUAAUUUUUUCAGAAGACACCUGCAAAGUUGUAAUAAAGAAAUGAUCUGAGCUCCAACUACGGUGCUUUUACUUUGUCACAUUUAGAUGCUUACCCAUGGCAAGUUAAAAGGCCAGAAAAAUGAAGUAUUCCUAGUGUGGAAAUUCUCCCAAUAGACUGUCUCUUAAUCCUUCACCAACCAUAGGAGCUGCAUUUGUGAAAAAAAUUACAGCUGGCAAAACAGUAUUACAAAACAGGAUGUGGAGAAAAUCCUAAAGAGAUUUUCAAGAAACUAGAAAUAUUCUACAAACUGAUCAGUCUUAAAAUACAACCUACGUGGGGUAUAUGGUAUGUGUGGUCGAAGUACGGAUCAUACUGACACUCAGCUUCACCUCAAAGGGGACUGAGAAAAGCUCUGGGCAUCACAUGCAUUCAGACACACCAUAUAUAUUAGGAUGCUGUGAACCAGGAGUAAACCCUAGGCACAAAAUCAAAAGAGAGCAAAAUCUCUACUGAGCAAUUCUACAGAGCAGUACUAUGGGCGGGUAGGCUGCAAGAUGCACAGUUAAAGGAGGUGCACAGUUCUGGACAUCCAUGCAUACAAGAGCAGGUAGUAAAAAAGAUUUCAGGAGUCAAUUACAAAUCUCUAAACUAAGCCAGCAUUAACAGAUUUAAAGUCCCGCCCUGGGAAAAUCCUUUUAUAACACCAUGGGAGCAAUCAAGCUGUGAUUUAAGGAAGCAGAUUCUUCUGUAACUUCCACAAGGAAGUUCAUUGGAGCUCACAGUUUUUCAAACUAUUUCUUACCGAUUUUGAGUUCAAAGGUAUUUGCGUAUCCUCUUACCUAUGUUUACUUUUUUCCAUCUAGGUGAAUGUUCUAUCAAAUUGCUGCUUGUUUCAAAACUCAAUGCAGUGCUUGGGAACAAAUACCCAUAUGGGUUCUGUAUAUUCAAAGCAGCUCAGUGAACUAGGACAGGUAGAAAUACAGCAGACUUAAGUAUUUUAACAUACAUGUCUCUGCACUUUAGGUGGUAGUCUCAGUUGUCUAAGGUUUGGUUAGCCAGGACUCCUAGAUUUCUUAGACCUGGGAUCGUUACUUAUUCCUAAAUUCUUUUUUUUUUUUUUUUUUUUGGUUUUUCUCCGGUACCGGGAACCGAACUCACGACCUUGCGCUUGCCAUUAUUCCUAAAUUCUAUUGCCUGAUAGCAUAAGCUACAUAGCCCUUGCUAGGCCCCUUGGGGGAAAAAAAUUAUCAAGCCCUAAGGUGAUGAUGAGACAUCCGUUUCUCAACAGCAGUCAGCACUGCCAUUUUGACCCUGUCAAUUCUGGGUGUGGGGGACUGCAGGAGGUUCUGCAGCAUCUGUAGUCUCUAUUCACUAGAUACAGUAGGACCCCUGCGCCAGGUGUCACAACCAAAAAUGUCUCCAGACACGACCACAUGGCCACCAAAAGGCAAAAUCCCGUCCUAGCCCCAACCUGCAUAAGAACCACUGCCGUAAGAAAGCUAAUGACUGACCACGGAAAUCUGUACCUCUUUCACUCUCACUACUCUUAUCUCAGCAGGGUAGAUACUUUCAUACAAGGGAGGAAGCUAAAAAAAAAGCAGUCAUUAAACCCAUAAAAUAAUUUUAUGUACAGAGCACAAGAGAAUUUAGGUUCCUG
rnacentral:lncRNA from 1 species